rnacentral:rRNA from 1 species
UACGGAGGAUGCGAGCGUUAUCCGGAUUUAUUGGGUUUAAAGGGUGCGUAGGCGGGCUUUUAAGUCAGCGGUAAAAAUUCGGGGCUCAACCCCGUCCGGCCGUUGAAACUGGGGGCCUUGAGUGGGCGAGAAGAAGGCGGAAUGCGUGGUGUAGCGGUGAAAUGCAUAGAUAUCACGCAGAACCCCGAUUGCGAAGGCAGCCUUCCGGCGCCCUACUGACGCUGAGGCAC